rnacentral:rRNA from 1 species
UACGUAGGGGGCUAGCGUUGUCCGGAAUCAUUGGGCGUAAAGCGCGUGUAGGCGGCCCGGUAAGUCCGCUGUUAAAGUCCAGGGCUCAACCCUGGGAUGCCGGUGGAUACUGUCGGGCUCGAGUCCGGAAGAGGCGAGUGGAAUUCCUGGUGUAGCGGUGAAAUGCGCAGAUAUCAGGAGGAACACCAAUGGCGAAGGCAGCUCGCUGGGACGUGACUGACGCUGAGACGCGAAAGCGUGGGGAGCAAACAGG